rnacentral:rRNA from 1 species
UACGGGGGGAGCAAGCGUUGUUCGGAUUUACUGGGCGUAAAGGGCGCGUAGGCGGUCAGCACAAGUCAGUUGUGAAAUCUCCGGGCUUAACUCGGAAAGGUCAACUGAUACUGUGCGACUAGAGUGCGGAAGGGGCAACUGGAAUUCUCGGUGUAGCGGUGAAAUGCGUAGAUAUCUGGAGGAAUACCGGUGGCGAAGGCGGCAUCCUGGACCGGCAUUGACGCUGAGGAGCGAAAGCUAGGGGAGCAAACGGG